UAGGGAAUCUUCGGCAAUGGACGGAAGUCUGACCGAGCAACGCCGCGUGAGUGAAGAAGGUUUUCGGAUCGUAAAGCUCUGUUGUAAGAGAAGAACGAGUGUGAGAGUGGAAAGUUCACACUGUGACGGUAUCUUACCAGAAAGGGACGGCUAACUACGUGCCAGCAGCCGCGGUAAUACGUAGGUCCCGAGCGUUGUCCGGAUUUAUUGGGCGUAAAGCGAGCGCAGGCGGUUAGAUAAGUCUGAAGUUAAAGGCUGUGGCUUAACCAUAGUACGCUUUGGAAACUGUUUAACUUGAGUGCAAGAGGGGAGAGUGGAAUUCCAUGUGUAGCGGUGAAAUGCGUAGAUAUAUGGAGGAACACCGGUGGCGAAAGCGGCUCUCUGGCUUGUAACUGACGCUGAGGCUCGAAAGCGUGGGGAGCAAACAGGAUUAGAUACCCUGGUGGUCCACGCCGUANCGAUGAGUGCUAGGUGUUAGACCCUUUCCGGGGUUUAGUGCCGCAGCUAACGCAUUAAGCACUCCGCCUGGGGAGUACGACCGCAAGGUUG
rnacentral:rRNA from 1 species